AUGCAGUCGAGCGGAGAUUGAGAGCUUGCUCUCAUGAUCAGCGGCGGACGGGUGAGUAACACGUGAGCAACCUGCCUUUCAGAGGGGGACAACAGUUGGAAACGACUGCUAAUACCGCAUAACAUUGCCGAACGGCAUCAUUUGGCAAUCAAAGGAGCAAUCCGCUGAAAGAUGGGCUCGCGUCUGAUUAGAUAGUUGGUGAGGUAACGGCCCACCAAGUCGACGAUCAGUAGCCGGACUGAGAGGUUGAUCGGCCACAUUGGGACUGAGACACGGCCCAGACUCCUACGGGAGGCAGCAGUGGGGGAUAUUGGACAAUGGGGGAAACCCUGAUCCAGCGAUGCCGCGUGAGGGAAGAAGGUUUUCGGAUUGUAAACCUCUGUGGACAGGGACGAUAAUGACGGUACCUGUUUAGAAAGCCACGGCUAACUACGUGCCAGCAGCCGCGGUAAUACGUAGGUGGCGAGCGUUGUCCGGAAUUACUGGGUGUAAAGGGAGCGUAGGCGGGAAGGCAAGUCAGAAGUGAAAAUUAUGGGCUUAACCCAUAACCUGCUUUUGAAACUGUUUUUCUUGAGUGAGGCAGAGGCAAGCGGAAUUCCUAGUGUAGCGGUGAAAUGC
rnacentral:rRNA from 1 species